GAUUAGCAUAUGGGUCCAACUACUCUACGUGGUCUGGUCUCGUAGUGUUCGUUUGGCCAUUACUGCUCGUCGUAUGGCUGGUUUCAUCAAUGGUAAAAACAUUGUCCCUGCCAUUAAUGACUCUAGCUAUGAUGCUUGGGAAGAAGACAAUUUUUUGGUGCAGUCAUGGCUCCUUAACUCCAUGACUAAGAAUGUACGUGUCUUAUUUGAUCACUGCCCAACUGAUUGUGUGGUGUGGAAAACAACUCGGAAAACCUAUGCUGUCACUCAAAAUAGCUCCAAGUUGUACCAACUCCGUCAUUAG
rnacentral:lncRNA from 1 species